rnacentral:rRNA from 1 species
GAUGAACGCUGGCGGCGUGCCUAAUACAUGCAAGUCGAGCGAACGGACGAGAAGCUUGCUUCUCUGAUGUUAGCGGCGGACGGGUGAGUAACACGUGGAUAACCUACCUAUAAGACUGGGAUAACUUCGGGAAACCGGAGCUAAUACCGGAUAAUAUUUUGAACCGCAUGGUUCAAAAGUGAAAGACGGUCUUGCUGUCACUUAUAGAUGGAUCCGCGCUGCAUUAGCUAGUUGGUAAGGUAACGGCUUACCAAGGCAACGAUGCAUAGCCGACCUGAGAGGGGGAUCGGCCACACUGGAACUGAGACACGGUCCAGACUCCUACGGGAGGCAGCAGUAGGGAAUCUUCCGCAAUGGGCGAAAGCCUGACGGAGCAACGCCGCGUGAGUGAUGAAGGUCUUCGGAUCGUAAACUCUGUUAUUAGGGAAGAACAUAUGUGUAAGUAACUGUGCACAUCUUGACGGUACCUAAUCAGAAAGCCACGGCUAACUACGUG